GGCACCGUCUGCCUCUCUGAACCCAGAGCCAGCUCCUGGGAAACAGGCAAGGCUUCAGGGUCGCGUGAGCAGGAGGAGAGCCUCCCGGCGCCUGUAGGAGCCACACCGCGCAUGGCACCAGCAGCUGCCUGUCCCCUGUCCAGGGCCUUCGGGCGGCGGAGAGUGAGGAUGCCAGACCUCCCGGCCACCUGCCAAACCUUCGCCACAACCGAGUACACUUCCACAACUCCUCGCCCCAUAAACAAGUCGGCAGGUCCAAAGCUGGUCGGUCUACAGCCACCAGAAGCAGGACGGACACAUCCCUCCGAGAUUGCCAUCGGCCUCCAGAGUCCACAGCCCAGCAGCCUCCACCAUGGGAUGGAGCACUCCAGGCCCAGAGGAAGCCUGACAGGGACGCCGGCCACCGGGGACAAGAGCCUCCUCGGGAAGAGGGGAUCCAGCUGCCGAGACGGUGAUUCCCUGUUCCUCACCCCGCCUGCUUGCUACUAUGAAGAACCGAUGACAGAAUCAAGCCAGAAUGAGAGUGAUGGUUCCUUCCCCACCCUCCU